rnacentral:rRNA from 1 species
AUUGAACGCUGGCGGCAUGCCUUACACAUGCAAGUCGAACGGUAACGGGCCUUCGGGUGCCGACGAGUGGCGAACGGGUGAGUAAUGCAUCGGAACGUACCUUUCAGUGGGGGAUAACGUAGCGAAAGUUACGCUAAUACCGCAUAUUCUGUGAGCAGGAAAGCAGGGGAUCGCAAGACCUUGCGCUGAUAGAGCGGCCGAUGUCAGAUUAGCUAGUUGGUGAGGUAAAGGCUCACCAAGGCGACGAUCUGUAGCGGGUCUGAGAGGAUGAUCCGCCACACUGGAACUGAGACACGGUCCAGACUCCUACGGGAGGCAGCAGUGGGGAAUUUUGGACAAUGGGGGCAACCCUGAUCCAGCCAUGCCGCGUGAGUGAAGAAGGCCUUCGGGUUGUAAAGACUCUUUCGGCCGGGAAGAAAUCGCAU